AAUAAACUAAUUUUUUACUUUUUAUCUAUAAUUUUUGACUUUUCGUCUUAUUCAAAAUUAUUUUAUGAUUGAUAUUUUUAUUUUUAUUAGAUGAUAAAUAAUAAAUAAUACUUUACGUGUGACUAAUUUUUUUAUAAUUUUUUGAAAAAUUUUCAAAUAAGACGGAUGGUCAAACGUUGGAUAUAGAAACUGAAGAAUUGGUUUAUU
rfam:Oryza brachyantha chromosome 7, whole genome shotgun sequence.